rnacentral:snoRNA from 1 species
CCACUGGAUGAUGAAACGCUGGUAUCAUACAUACUGGCGGGCCUCGACAUCGACUAUAACCCUCUGGUAUCAACUGUUGUAGGUAGAUAUGAAUCUAUCUCUUUGAGUGAAUUGUAUGCACAGAUGCUUAGCUACGACA